rnacentral:lncRNA from 1 species
CAGUCGGUUUCCUGUGUGGUCUUGUUUGGCGUGCGUUAGCCGAGCUACGAGUGCUCUGAUUCUUCUCUGGUUAGAGAAGAUACGUAUGCAUAGGAUGCGACAUCCUAGCGAGCACGUUUCCCCUGUCCCGAACUACGUCGACUCUGAUGUCUGUGCUUGACAGGCUAAGUAGGCCCAGGAUGCGAUAUCCUGCCGAGUCCC